rnacentral:rRNA from 1 species
UGUUUAACGGCCGCGGUAUUCUGACCGUGCAAAGGUAGCGCAAUCAAUUGUCUUUUAAAUGAAGACCUGUAUGAAUGGCAUAACGAGGGCUAAACUGUCUCCUCCUUCCAGUCAAUGAAAUUGAUCUUCCCGUGCAGAAGCGGGAAUAAUAACAUAAGACGAGAAGACCCUAUGGAGCUUAAAACGCAAGAAUAGAUCACAUCACUUACCCUGGGUUAACAGGACAAGACAACUGAGUACUAUUCUAGUGUUUUUGGUUGGGGCGACCGCGGGGUAAAAUAAAACCCCCACGUAGAACGAAAAUACAUUUUUUUAAUUUAAGGGAAACAACCCUAAAAAACAGAAUCUCUGACUUUUUGAUCCGGUUUUACCGAUCAACGAACCGAGUUACCCUAGGGAUAACAGCGCAAUCCUCUUUUAGAGCCCAUAUCGACAAGGGGGUUUACGACCUCGAUGUUGGACCAGGACAUCCUAAUGGUGCAGCCGCUAUUAAGGGUUCGUUUGUUCAACGAUUAAAGUCCU